ensembl:lncRNA
ACGGUGUUAGGAAAGAUGGCACAGAGAAUCAAGAACUGGCUGUGAAACACUUCUACCUAGAAUCACAUGUCACUUUCUACAGACCUGGGCAAGGCCUAGAACUGGAAAUUCAGGGAGCUGCAGGGAUGUGCCCACAGGGUGGAAGAGCUACGGGUGAGACCACAACACUCACAAAUGGAUAAAGUGAGCUACUUCACAAUUUCACACUGGAAAAACUCGCUUGUUAAAGGAGCUCUAAGUAAAUCUUUUAACAAAGGGCUAUUUUUAGAUGCAAGUGAACCUGCCUUCUCACUUUUGUUUUCCUAUCCGAGAAGCCUUGUGCUUCUGGGCUCUUUAUUAGAAGAGUGCGCACAGGCGUUGCAAAAACCCCUACUUAACCUCAGUACAGCUGCCUGGGACAUGUUCCACCUCCAACAGCCAAGGUGCCCAGAAUUGAUGAUGUGGGAAUCCCAGAUAACACUGGCUCAUCAGAAAGCCACAGGGGCCAAUGAGGCUGGCUCCCCCAGGCUCCUGGCUUCCCCUGGCACCGCCACGGGUGUGCAGGCCUCGCCAGCCACUCCAAAGCUUCCACAAGGAGGGGGAGCCAAACCAACCAGGAGGUCCCAGAGGGUGAUGCCCACCGGAGAGAAGGCUCUGCACCAGGCCUGUGAGCUUAGACGCCCACUCCUCAGCACCUCACUGUGUCACUAAUGUGGUCAGAAAAGGAAAGGAACAUCCUGACUAACUCAUUAGUUUCCCUCAACUGCCAUCUGCCCAAUAUUUCCAACCCAUGCCAUUUCCUUGUUCUCACAGUCAGGCUGUUGCAGCCCUAAUAGCGGCAGGGGCACACUGGCUCUGCCUCCAGCGGCUGUGUCACCCUGGACGAGCUAUAAUGCGCAACUAUCUGUGCCUUGAUUUCCUCAUCUGUGAAAUGGGGAUUACAGUACCUUUCGAGAUAGCUGUAAGCAUUUAAGUCAAUACAAGGGAUUCCCUGGCAGUCCAGUGGUUAUGACUGAGUUCAAUCCCUAGUUGGGGAACUAAGAUUCUGCAAACCACAUGGUACAAUUAAAAAAAAAAAAUUUAAAUUAUUAUAACCCCCUUUUUACUCAAGAAGCAGUAUUUGUCCAACACUAGAACUGUCAAUAAGAAACAGUACAAGUCUCUAAACAAGGCAGUACCCACCCUACCAACUAUUAAUAGAAACUACCCGUUCUCCAGUGCCAGUUUCAUAGCAAAAAAGUAUCUGAGAAAGUUCUGAAACCUGUAGCAAUAGAAAGCAAAAACACAAGGACUUAACAAUACAGGUGGCACUUUCCUGAUGGUCCUGUGGUUAAGAAUCUGACUUCUAACACUGAGGGACUCAGGUUCAAUCACUGGUCAGGGAAUUAAGAUCCCAUAUGCCACAGCGCAACUAACCCCUUGCACCACAAUGACAUGGCCCACGUGCUGCAAUGAAGACCCAGAGAAGCCAAAAAUAAAUAAAAACAAAACCAACAAUACAGGUAAUUCAAUUAUCUCCCAAAAAAAGCAUAAAAACUAGGGAAACAGAUUAACAUGUAAAAUAGGUGUCUCUUGUGAACUUUUUUUAAACACAAAAAGUAAAUGGAGUGAGUGGACAGAAAAAAGCACUAUACCCCUCACUCUAUAAUGAUAUAUAAUGCUGCUAUAACCUUGCUGAAAUCUUAGUACAACUCCAUGAAGCAGGUAAAAUAGGCAACACUCCUCUUUUAGAGAUAUGGAAACUAGGCUCACAGUAUGGAUUCAUUUACUUAAGGUAAGGCCUCAUCUGAGAAUGAGUUCAUGUCCUGGGACUCAGUCUGCCCCCUCUCUUUCCAUUCCACCAAAUUUUCAUUUGGAAUGAAUUAAACUGCAUUUUCAGAAAUUUAAAAAAAAGAGAAUGAAACUUGAUCCUCAGCUUCCCUGGGUUUCUCCCUGACAGGUUUCUCUGUCCAUGGGAUUCUCUAGGCAAGAAUACUGGAGUGGGUNNNNNNNNNNNNNNNNNNNNNNNNNNNNNNNNNNNNNNNNNNNNNNNNNNNNNNNNNNNNNNNNNNNNNNNNNNNNNNNNNNNNNNNNNNNNNNNNNNNCCAUGGGAUUCUCUAGGCAAGAAUACUGGAGUGGGUUGUCAUGCCCUCCUGCCAAAGAGGUCUAAACCAAGACAAAUUACAAUUAAAAUAGCAAAAUUAAAGAUAAAGAAUCUUAAAAGUAGCAAUAAAAAAAGCAAUUAGUUAUGUGCAAGAAAACUCCCUAAGCUAACUUUCCAGCAGAAAUUUCACAGAUCAGAAUGAAGUGACAUGAUACACUCAGUGAUGAAAGGGGAAAAAAAUCUGUACCUGUAACCAAAAAUAUUUUACUUUACAUAUAAGCAAUAGCUAAAAGAAUUCUGCACCAUGACACUGGCAUUGCAAGAAAUGUUCAAGGGCCUUCUCUAAGCAGGAUUUUUUAAAAUAGGAAAAAAAAAAAACAACUUCACAACUAGAGAUAUGAAAGGAAAAAUCUCAUUGGUAAAGGCAAACACACAGUAAAAGUAGUGCAUCAACCACCUAUGAAGCUGGUAGGAACAGUAUAAGACAAAAGCAGCAAAAUCAUCUCUCUACAACAAGCAGUCAAGGCCUAUACAAAACAAAAAGUCAGAAAAUAUGCUAUCAAAAACACUAAAUAGGUGGGGGAAUAACACACAGUUGUUAGAGUGCAUUUCAACUUAAAAGAUCAUCAACUUAAAAUAACACAUUAUUACUAAUAUAUAUUAUAUAUAUUUAUGUGGGUGUGUG